UCGACGAUGAUCCCAGCUUGCUGGGGGAUUAGUGGCGAACGGGUGAGUAACACGUGAGUAACCUGCCCUUGACUCUGGGAUAAGCCUGGGAAACUGGGUCUAAUACCGGAUACGACCAUCUGGCGCAUGUCAUGGUGGUGGAAAGCUUUUGUGGUUUUGGAUGGACUCGCGGCCUAUCAGCUUGUUGGUGGGGUAAUGGCCUACCAAGGCGACGACGGGUAGCCGGCCUGAGAGGGUGACCGGCCACACUGGGACUGAGACACGGCCCAGACUCCUACGGGAGGCAGCAGUGGGGAAUAUUGCACAAUGGGCGCAAGCCUGAUGCAGCGACGCCGCGUGAGGGAUGACGGCCUUCGGGUUGUAAACCUCUUUCAGUAGGGAAGAAGCGUAAGUGACGGUACCUGCAGAAGAAGCGCCGGCUAACUACGUGCCAGCAGCCGCGGUAAUACGUAGGGCGCAAGCGUUAUCCGGAAUUAUUGGGCGUAAAGAGCUCGUAGGCGGUUUGUCGCGUCUGCUGUGAAAGACCGGGGCUCAACUCCGGUUCUGCAGUGGGUACGGGCAGACUAGAGUGCAGUAGGGGAGACUGGAAUUCCUGGUGUAGCGGUGAAAUGCGCAGAUAUCAGGAGGAACACCGAUGGCGAAGGCAGGUCUCUGGGCUGUAACUGACGCUGAGGAGCGAAAGCAUGGGGAGCGAACAGGAUUAGAUACCCUGGUAGUCCAUGCCGUAAACGUUGGGCACUAGGUGUGGGGGACAUUCCACGUUUUCCGCGCCGUA
rnacentral:rRNA from 1 species